CAAACAACACAAGCAGUCAAUCAAAGACAGAGACAAAACCUCACACUUUCAGUUUCAGCAUGUUUAGCUGUUCUUUAGAACUGAAGUCUUUUCUGUUCGCUGAUUAUGAGUAAGAACAUCAUCAGAGUCUUGCUCUUCUCAUCUGAAGGUCUUUCCUAUCAUAAUGUGUUUCUUCUGAUGAGGUGAUGAACUCUUUCUGAAGCUCAGACAACACAACAUCAGCAGACAUCUCGGAGUUGUGAUGGAUGGGUCAUCUCUCUUCAGCUCGACACAAGAUAUAGAGAGACUGUAGAAAUGAAAUAGCACAGAGAAAACUGCUAAAAUCAACAGGACCCAGAGAAAAAUGGAGACCAGAAAUGAAGCACAAAGCAGUGAAUCACAAAAGAAAAGCAGAAAGAGACACACAAGAUGGAACAGCAUGUGGAAUAUAAAGCCAAAUUUCUCACAUGAUCCAGAUGGACUUAAAAAAGUUUUAUUCAGAUGUUUUCAAGAACACAUAACGUCAGCGAUGUCAGGAUACCAUCGACUGAAGACUAACAUCUGAAGACUAACAGACUGUUCAGCUCCUGGACUCUUCCAGAGGAACCUUUUAUGUACCUUGUUUUUUAAUGGUUCUUCAAAAAAGUUAGCGGAAUUGAUUAAAAUAUCUGAAUUAAGUUGUCUGUGAUUUUUCUGUGUUGUCAUGUUCAUUAAAGGGCAGAUAUAUCAAUACUAAAAAACAUGAUCAGCAAUGCAGUGAUAUGGUGGUGUAAAGUCAGUAACAUGACAUCAUAUAAAUAAGAAGGAAACAGUCUAGUGAGUGAAAUGAUGAAAGUUCUAAUAUAAAAGUCUCUUUAAGGCAAGUCUCGGCGGCCAUCUUUGAAACACCUCUCAGCUAUGUGAGUGCAGCUCCUAUCUCUUUUAAUGGGGAAAAAAUCACAUUCUUCAAAAUAUAUUUGAAAUCACCAAUGAAAUCUGACAACAUCGGUCUCAUUAAUGUUUCUUUAACAGUGUUAAAGAAAAUCCCAUCCUGAUCUAGAAGUGCUUUUCGUUAACUGCAAGCCGUUCUAUUCGCCGCGGGAGUUUCACUCGUUUAUUCUGGUCUGUGUUUACAUUCCUCCGCAAGCGCAUGUGAGCUCAGCUUUACAGAAACUCUCUGAUCAGAUCACAGAGACAGAACAACAACACCCGGACUCUGCUUUAAUCAUUCCUAGGGUCUUUAAUUAAGCCAAUCUCUCCCAUUACCUGCCAAAAUACAGACAGCACAUCACAUGUCCCACCAGAGACAGUAAUAUAUUGGAUCACUGUUACACCACAAUAAAGGAUGAUAUCAC